CGGGGGGCAGCAGUGGGGAAUAUUGGACAAUGGGGGAAACCCUGAUCCAGCAAUGCCGCGUGAGUGAUGAAGGCCUUCGGGUUGUAAAGCUCUUUUGUUAGGGACGAUGAUGACGGUACCUAACGAAUAAGCUCCGGCUAACUUCGUGCCAGCAGCCGCGGUAAUACGAAGGGAGCUAGCGUUGUUCGGAAUUACUGGGCGUAAAGGGCGCGUAGGCGGCUUGAUAAGUUUGAUGUGAAAGCCCUGGGCUUAACCUAGGAAUAGCAUUGAAUACUGUCAGGCUAGAGGCCGAGAGAGGGAAAUGGAAUUGCGAGUGUAGAGGUGAAAUUCGUAGAUAUUCGCAAGAACACCAGUGGCGAAGGCGAUUUCCUGGCUCGGUACUGACGCUAAGGCGCGAAAGCGUGGGGAGCAAACAGGAUUAGAUACCCCCGU
rnacentral:rRNA from 1 species